CUAUUUUUGUUCCAGAAGGCGGUAGAAUGUGAGCAUAGAACACGUCACCAGAUGGCGAAAUUUCUAGCAAUUAUUGAUUCGACUUAAUUUCUAUACAACUAUGUUCAAGCAUCGCGGAGGAAUACACAAUACGACUGCGCGAGGGCAACUUAUAUAAAUAUUCGGUAAUCAUGGGCGCUGGUUGAGAUAUAAGAUUUGAGAAGUAGAUGGUAGUGCGUCGGGAGCGAUAGCGUGGUGUUUUUUUUGUGGCAGUGCGGAAGUUGCUGGGCUGAUGAAGAGAACUGGAAGCAAGGAAAGUGUGUUAGGAGGAUUGGGUUUGUUGAGAAUUUGUAACGGUUUUGUUCCUUAAAGAUAUUUACUUGUAUGAAUAAAGUUUCAAAUAAAGACUACAAUUUGUAGCUAA